GGGGGUUUCGUUGAUAUUGAGUCGACUAUAAACAACUCAUCUUGCUUGGAACCGUCGUUGUGUAUGGGAAAGGGGGGUUCUACCUAUGCUUGGAAAAGGGUGAAUGGUCCCAAAAGGGACGGGAUAAAACCCACUAGAAAGAACGGGGGGUCAUCCACUCCGUCGCUGGGUAGUCAACUUUAUCCGUGACUCUGAGUACAAGAUUUCCGGGAUCAAGAAACUCGCAAACAAAUAUGCUCGGCUGGACUCUUUUCUCGUAUGCCCGUAAAAUAAAAUUGCGGUACAACUCAGCUUGCUGCAAAGCCUUUCUUUCUCGUCCAAACACUCCAGAUCUGCACUUCCCUUUUCUCCAUAGGGCCGAAGCUUUACUAAAAAGGGCUUUUUUUUAGAGAGAGCGUAAGGGGCGAUCUAUAUUGCUUGCCACAGCUCUAUUCCCGACUCUAAAUCCAUAAAGGACUUUAAGAGAGGAUGAACAUUCCCAUUCUAUAGGUGGCACUGCCCCUAUUAGAGAAGGUUGAAGCUAGACUUUUGAUUAGAGGUUCAAGGGAGAACUGCGAGGAGAAUCGAGAUUGGCGCUUA
rnacentral:lncRNA from 1 species